CGAAUAAAAAUAUUUACUUCAGAUAAAUAAUUAUGAGUUGAGUAUUUUAUACGUGGAAUAAUUGUUUGUUAUGGGGGAGAAAUUGUUUUCUAGGUUCAUUGGAAUAAUAACUGCAGAAUUAUUCGAGCGAUAAUACGAUCGUCCAGUUAAUUGUUUUCGACGAGUAUACUCGUCACGAAGAAUUGGCGAUAUUUCGUGCUACGACGAGUAUACUCGUCACGCGUAAAAAGUAGUUACUAUUUGCUGUUUACGUUGUAGUUUAGGAAUUGCAGUAAAUUACAGUUUAGGAAUGGCAGUAAAUUACAGUUUAGGAAUUGCGGUAAAUUACUGCUAUAUAAUUAAAAAGUAAGACAGUCGUUUGGAUGCAACUUAAUUCUAUAUUAUGACAGCCAUAUAUACUCCGUGUUUGACGAGUAUACUCGUCACGCGUAAAAAGUAGUUACCAUUUGCUGAUUAAAUUGCAGUUUAGCAAUUGCAGUAAAUUGCGGCAAUAAAAUUAAAAAGUAAGACAGUUGUUUCGUUGCAACUUAAUUCUAUAUUAUGACAGCCAUACAUACUCCGUGUUUGACGAGUAUACUCGUCACCCCUUGCUUUUUGAGACGCAUUUUUAGCUAUACAGUUUUCAAACAGGUUGCAACAGCUAACUGAUUAAUUAUCCGUUUCCAUCUAAUUUUGUACAAGCGUAUACAGAUAUCGGUAUAACUCUUACUAUUCGCUUAUCAGACGAAUAAUUUAUCACGUGACGAUAAACUUUCUAACCUGGCAAUUAUCAAAGGCAAUAAAUAUUACAACUGUAGAACGAAGUUUGUGAAUAUAUUGGAAAUCACAUUUAGUAUCACGUCUAUCCACGAUGUAACACGACACCGCAUCAAGUAUGAAAGACGCGAAUUGGCGCUUCCAAUCUUCAGAGGGUUAAGCUGCAUAGCAACUGUGAGUGGCAGAGUACUUUUAAGAAGUUAGCGUGGUUUUAGAAGUCGAGGAUGUAGUCGCGGAUGUUAUAGUUUCUAGCUGACGACAAAAGGCCUGGCGCUCUUUGCUGUCCGCAUGCAACGAUCGCGUGCACGGGGCGAUGACUCGGGGACACGGGGUCACGGUGACCCGUGGCGUGGCACGUGAAAAGCGAUAAGAGUUCUGCCUAGACUUUAGACUGUAGCAGGAUGUGGCCAGGCUGAUGAACCCUCUGGCUCUGGCAACACGACCGGCAAUAAGUCAACAAGCUCAGCACUUAAGAACUUCUCAGCGAGAUGAUCCAGAUUGCCGAUGAUCGAUGCAUGUACGUAUCAUCCAAUAGAGAUGGCACGCAAAAUUGCAAACUUCAUUCACGACCAUAAUUGACCUGAUCAUAAUUCUUGAUCUUCAUUGAAUUAUUUACACGUACACGUUAGUACACUGGCAUACUGCGAGAAAUAUGAUAAUUGAAAGGAAGAAGAAUCUCAUUGAAAAUAUGUCGUACGUAUUCCCCCCCAACUGAUUUCCCCCUUUUUAUCAAGUUCCAUUUUUUAAAUUUUGAUUUUCCUCCACUCUGGUCAAACUUAUGGGGAAGAUACUUAAAACGUUGGGCUACUGCACGACUCUCCAUUGCAUGUGUUUUCUAGUAAUAUACAGGGUGAGGCCCUUGACACGACUUAAAAUAACUCGCAAGUUAUUGGUCGUACAAAAAAGCGUAGACGGGUAAAUCAUCAAAUUUUGUGUAAUUGAUCCAACUUUAAGAAACAAAUAUUAAACGCUCCAUUUAAACAAAUUCAUACUGACCCUAAUAUCUCGCUAAAAAGCUAAGAUAAUAAAAAAACAAAUUAGAGCACUGUACGUCUGCCUAGAUGCCAUGCAAUUUUUCUUAAACAACACAUUUUCAUACAACGAAUAACUCAGCUGUUUAGAGUCGUCCACGUGUUAUUUUUCAAUUAAGUUAGAAAAAUUACCAAAUGUCCUGGACAAAUUGUAAAGUACAAAUUAAAAUAAAAAAAGUAAAAACGUUAGGAGUCACCCUGUAUAUAUAAGGCGCACGUAUCAUCGGCUCAAGUCAAAAACGGCUCACUGAUAAUCAUAAUAUGAUAAUGAUAAUAAAAAAUACAUGAUACAUAAUACGUAAUCGAACAUGAAUGUUGCGACAACUGAAACAUGAUCGUUCAGUUUACCGACUAUUGAAUGUCUCGUCGAACCGUGGCCAUUUCCCGAAACUCCACUGUUGACAAAUCACCAGCUUGGGAGAGGUUGGAGACAAGCGUCGCCACUUGCUAACACAUGGUCGGUGCUCGUUGAUUUCGGCUACAUCUGUACGUAUUAGUCGUUAGCCGUGCAGCUGUGUGUAUACGAGCCAAGAACAAGAUGCCAUAUAUGCGCUACGUGGGCCAAAGGAGAAGGCGAUACAACGCGUACCGCCUUAACCAGCUCGAGCAUUUCAAGAUUACAGGACUGGCAAGGACUCUUGCGAUCGUGGACACGGUUAGGUAAUCGAAACGAAUACUCCUGCCUGGAUUCUACGCAACUACACGGAUUUUACCAUUAUCGUUGCCAACCUGGCCUCGAACAGCAGUUCUAUGCAAUCUUAGAUUUUCAUUCUACGAGACGACCAGACACUCUUGGCCAGUGCAACGUCGAAAGAAACAGAAGAUUAUCGCCUGUAUCUGAAUUUUGCCAAGUGUAGUUUAUUCUUUUUUUUUUUUUUUUUUGUCUUAACGAUAACACCGAAAGCUCGGAAGCUCCUAGUCGUAUUUUAAUUUCGAUAUUUCUUAUUUUCUUUAAAUUAAUUUACGAGCUGGUCAUGAGCUGUAGAUGUAAGGGCUGCGAGUAGAACGUGGAUUUUCCUCCUGCUUAACUUUCGUAUUCCUUACGAUAUCGUAAAGCGGACGUUUGGAAAAUAUUUCCCACGUGUAAUUAGAACGUCGUACGAAAUUACAAUCGAACGUUAGAGAAAUGUGACGCGAAUACACGUACGUGAAUCGACAACAAUCCCAACGACAAUCUUGUGCACACAUUGUGCGCUUCAAUGCGUUCCGAAACCUGCAUUAAGUUCGUUCUUUGUUUAAUGCAUGUUGCGAUUUAUUUUGAUACAGACGAAGAACGAAGAUGUUUUAGAUUUUAAGGUUCGUCCACAACGAUUAUUUCAACGAUGUGUUUAUAGUUUUCCAAUGUGCAAGUUCAAAUCUACUAUGUAUGUAUAUGUAUAAGUAAUUGGACAAUAUAAUAAAUAUUCUAAAAAUA